UUUUAGCCCCGAUAGCAGUGAAAAUCCUUUAUUACUUUUAUCAAAAAAUAAUAAAGAUUGUAGCGUAUAGCGGGAUUAGCU
rnacentral:sRNA from 1 species